rnacentral:rRNA from 1 species
UGCAAUCUACCUUUUACAGGGGGAUAGCCCAGAGAAAUCCGGAUUAAUACCGCAUAAAAUCACAGUAUUGCAUAAUACAAUGAUCAAACAUUUAUGGGAUGAAGAUGGGCAUGCGUGUCAUUAGCUAGUUGGCGGGGUAACGGCCCACCAAGGCGACGAUGACUAGGGGAUCUGAGGGGAUGACCC